rnacentral:lncRNA from 1 species
GCAUGUUUACAUUUGUUCUGUUAUGCAUGCGCGAGCGCCAAGCUGUGGUUGAUAGGAGGAAGUGGUCAACGAGCGUAUCUCGCGCACGACCUGGGCGCCGAGUGGUGCACGCACGCCGCGGACGUGGGGAUGGACGCGUCGUGCGCGUGGUGUGCGGACAUCACCGGAGCUCUGCAUGUAAUCGCAAAUAAGAAGAGAAGUAAACCAACGAAAACGCUGCGGCAGUUUGAGCAGCACCAAAUACUCUGUGUUCUUGUUCGUGAGCUUCGCUCUCUCUCAAUUCUCUCUUUUCGGUGCGCGUGUGUUCCCGGCGUUCGUCCCUCGUCGCCCGGGGACUGACAUUGGUAACAAAAUUUCACUAAUUCUGAUGAACCCUGAGGAAAUCGAAGAAGAAGCCACUAAUAUGAACAAAUGCUGAUAAAGUCCAUCCAAAAAUCAGAGAAGCCUAAUGAAGAUUUCUAACUCAAAUGUACGAUAACUAGUGACGAUCAGGAAGUGCACAAUCAGAGAGCUGAUAUGUUGUUCCAUACAAAUCCCUGACCCAUGUCAUGGGGAAGUUGAGGUCCAUUUACAGAAACUCUGUAAAUAAUAGAAUUGGAGCCAAUCAAUCGUCACAGGUCGUGAUGAAUGGAGUUAUACUGUAAUUGAUAUAUUAUUAUAGAUAUUAUCUGAGCUUUCUUCAAUCAUGUCAUUAAAACAUAGUACUCUUCAAUUACUUUCAUAGUCUG